rnacentral:lncRNA from 1 species
UUGAACUGAAGAGAAGAAUGAAGCUUGUACAUAUAGGGGCAAGCUCUUGAAGAUCUUAAGAAGAGUUCUAUGAAGCUUCAGAAGUGAUGAGAAGCUGAUACAAGAUUGGGGCAAUGUCCAAGAAGGGUUCUAAUCAGACAUGGGAGAACAUUGGAGGAGUUUAGGCUGCAAUGGUUAAUGAGAAAGUUAGGGCGAUCCGUACGGACGGCCGUACGGACCGUACGGACCAGGGCGUCCCAAAGCUUAUCAUCUCGACCAUUUAAGCAUAGUUGAGGAAUGUGCAAGCUUAGGGCACAAUGUGUACGGCCAGGAAGUCCGUACAGCAUGGUCUGGUCAUGACUUGGGUCACAAGGCAUGGAGAAACUCAUUUGGACCUUAUACAUGAAGAAGGGAUCAAAAUGGCAUCUUGGAUGGCCUUGGAAAGGAUCAGGCGAGAUGCUGUCCGUGUAUGGAUAAGGUCUUCACUCCUAUUGGCUUAUUCAGUCCACAAGACAGCUCAUGACAGCCUGUGUAAAGACCAGGAACGCCCAAGCUUCCUAUUGGCCAAGCAUGUGAAGCUUAUGGUCCAUAGAAUUCAAAAUAAGGCUCCUCCUUGUUUGACUUCACAUGUGUGAUGUAUCUGACUGUAAACCCUAGUAGAAAACAGUCUGUCCUAUUGAAAUAAGAGGCAGAGACGAUUUGUAAGCUCUAAGUGAGUAAGGGGGUUUCCCUUCUCCUUCAUGAAACUAAGUCUUGUUCUUGAAUCUAAACACCAAUCUCUAGUCUCUUAUUCUCUCAGUCUCUCUAGUCUCUUAAUCUUUGUUCCUAAGUCUUUUAUACACUCUCAUUAAUUCCUCUUUCUAAAUUACCUAGAACAAGCUCUAAUCUUUCUCUAUUUGAGUUUAUACACACACACAUACAAUCAGAGUAAAGAUCUCUAUAAAAAUCAUA